UUUCUCCUACCCAAAGGUUCGUCGAGAUGAAAGCGCUAUAACUGACUAUCAUGGCCCGAAGAUUUCUGAUCCUUAUGUUUGGUUGGAAGGUCCAGACUCGAAAGAAACUGAGGCUUUUGUAGAACAACAAAAUGCCAUAACAAUGCCUUACCUAACUGACUGUGAAACACCAGAAAACUUCAAAACCAGAGAAACCUUGAAUGGAAGUCAAAAUAUUCACGGAUUGCUGGUGUGAAAAAAUGAAACAGCCGUGAUCAGCAGUGUUUAAAAAUGGAGGACAUGGAGGAUUUUCGACUGGCAAUAGAUCCAUAUCCCUAAUUGUGAUAUCUUCUGAUUCAGCUUCACGAGAAAUACCUACUCAAUUGUUACCAGACUGACCUUUUUAAGGAACCACGGACACCCUUUCGAGGGAUAUUCAGCACAAAAGAGACAUUACUACAGCCAGCAUUUUAAUACUUUAAAAUGCAUAGCAAGUGAAAAAUGAUUGCGCUUAUUUGAAAGGC